AAAUGACUUAAAAUUCUUUGAAGAAAUGCAGUACUACGGGUAAAGUAUUGUCUGUCUGACUUGCAGUAUAUGAUGUCUUCAUCUUAAGGAAUUGUGACUCCUUGGGGUGUGAACAGAGGUACUGAAUAUGCUGGAGUAAACCGGGGGAACAGACUCUAGAGGCAAAGGGUAUAUAUGCAUACUCCAAGCCACUGGAUAAGCAUUCACUAAUGCAUGUAUAAAAGUUUGAAAGGACAGUUGGAUCUGAAAACCCUUUUUCCAGAAAGGACAAAAAGUCAAAAUACCCAAUGCCUAUCAGAUCAAGAACUUAUCCAAGAUUAAUUGGUGGGGAGUUUCAAAAAGAUCCUUAUGAACAUCUGUGAAAGACACAAAGUGCUUUCUGGAAGGCAGAGUUGUUCCUCCAUCCCUGUGGAGCUGGUGGAAGGACAGCCCAGAGACUGCAGAUGAAAAUCCUGGCACCAAGCAGUAAAAGCCUGCUGAGACGAACAGUGAACCAGCCGCCAAACCCCAGCAGUGAUGGAGAAAACUUUCUGCAGACUACAGAAGACUCUGCCAGGUGUGCUGCUACUAGGGAAGCCACUGGGUUGACUGGACCAAAGCCUGGAAGCACGGUUUGAUCUUUGUUUGAAAAUCCACCAAAAUAAAAUGUCAAGACACAUCUAUUGCAGAUCUGUGCUUACUUAGAUGUUGUCACCAUAUUGAAGAACUAUUACUAAUUAAAGCAUUAGCAGAGCAAAUCACAAAUCAAAGCUGGGAUUUAAGUUUGUCUUUUAAGCAACUCACUAAUGUGAGCUAGCUGAGUGAACUAAAGUUUCUUCAAGGCUGAAGAUAUGUAGCAACAGAAAGAGCAGCAGGGCUACUGACAGUGGAAAACAAAGGAUGGGGAUAGUAAAAUGCAGAACAAUGUUUGCAAGCUGAAUUGGCUAGGUGCAAAUCUAUGAGGAACUGGGAGGAGGACAGGAAGUGACCUUCUAAGUUAGAAAUGUGUGAGUAUAGAACAAUUUCUGUGCCUUUGAGUGAAAUGUCCAGCCUCUGGGUUUCUGCAAUACAGAUAAAACUGGACUGAAGAUUACACCAGCCCACAAUCAAGCUGCUUAUGUAGGUCCCCUGGUCAUGUUCAGCAGCAACCUGGUCCUACACUAAGAUCCAAUUUUGUUACAACUUCCAGCCUGAUAUAUUUAGUUGAAAAUAAACUAAAAAAGAAUUGCUUAGAUGAAGUUCAAAAUGCUUUUCCUUAUAGAAGAAAAUCUCAGCUGCACCAACUAAUAAAGCCAGGUGGAAGAUAUAACCUAUUUGGGCAUCUCAGUGUUAACUUUCUCCCUUGACCCAUUUCAGAAACAUUGAACUAUUUACUGUCUCUGAAACAUCUGGACUUUCUACUUGUUUCAUAAGUCUCUAACAAAAAAUAUCUACACAUCAUCCAUCAAUCCACAGCCACAUUCUUUUCUCACCCUAUCAUGAUUAGAUUCUUUGGGAGGUUUUAGGGUUUUUUUUUUUCCUAAUGCUUUUCUCCCAGUUUUUCUUGGACAUCCUUGUAGUAAUUAUUAAUAGGCUCGAUAUAUACUCACUUUGAGCCAUCAGAAACUAAACUAGUUUGUUAUAUAACGAAGAGAAAUGGGGACUUUUGGGGACCUGGCCUCUUUUCUUAGUCACAACUGUCCCAUUCUGGCAAAACUGAGACGUAUCUCGAUCACUAUUUGGAGAAAGUCCACCUCCUGUUAAGAUGUCAAGAGCAGUGGUACAGUGUUUUGUCCAAGAUAGUUUUUUGGUACGAACAUCCAGGUCAGUGCUCUAAGUGAAUGGAAACACCUAAAUCACCCCUCUGUAAAGAAGGACAGAGGUGCUUGCUCCAUAAUAAACUGUUUGUGGAAGAA